rnacentral:rRNA from 1 species
UACAGAGACUGCAAGCGUUACUCGGAUUCACUGGGCGUAAAGGGAGCGCAGGCGGAUCGGUGUGUUGGAUGUGAAAUCCCGGGGCUUAACUCCGGGGCUGCGUCCAAAACUGCCGAUCUAGAGAUUCGGAGGGGCUAGUGGAAUUCCUGGUGGAGCAGUGAAAUGCGUAGAUAUCAGGAGGAACACCAACGGCGAAGGCAGCUAGCUGGACGAAAUCUGACGCUCAGGCUCGAAAGUAUGGGGAGCAAAAAGG